rnacentral:lncRNA from 1 species
AGAGGAGGUGGGUAUUGUGGAUGUACCUCAUCUUUGAAUAUUUUUGAUUAAGGAUCUUCUUGUGGUCCAACCACUGGUAUUUCUGGAUCGAUUUAUAGAUCAUGAACUUUCAUAAGUUCAAUAUUCCUCCCACUGCCUCUUUCUUGGAUAAAUUCAUGUUUCAAAAAAGUGGCGUGCCUACUAACAAACAUCUUUUGUUCAGUAGGGUGGUAGA